AAGAGACAGAAUGUAGAGGAAUGUUGAGUUUAUCUGUGGAGGACUUUCUCAGGAACCCUCUCUCCUUAUUCCACAUGCAUUGGAGAGUGAAUCAUGCAUAUAAAGGGAGGACAGCUUAGGGCCUGUCAGGCUGACAUGCUGGGAGGAGACAAGGAGUGACGAGAGACUGGGGAAGCAGCUCGUCAAGGCGAUGGCCUCCCCGCAUCAAUUUGCUCUGGUGUGCUCCCAUUAGCAUCUGCGACGAGGCCACCACCAGGGACCCACAGAUGGAUGGACAGGUUCUUUCUUGCUGCUAUCGUGUCUGCUCUCCACCUCCCCAUCACCGCCUAGUCUUUACGGAUUCAUCGUCCUCAUCUGCAUCAGCAGCCAUCAGCCUCAGAGUCAUCAGCCGCCACCACCACCAGUGUCUGGACUCCAUGGGGGGAUUUAUCCUGCUGCUGCUCAGAUGUCCCUCGAUCACAAAAUAUCUCCCUCUGGUG